ACUCAAUAGAUACCCUGGUAGUCCACACCGUAAACGAUGGAUACUAGAUGUCGGAAGUUCUUACCCUUUCGGUGUCGCAGCCAAACGCAUUAAGUAUCCCGCCUGGGAAGUACGGUCGCAAGAUUAAAACUCAAAGAAAUUGACGGGGGCCCGCACAAGCGGUGGAGUAUGUGGUUUAAUUCGAAGCAACGCGAAAAACCUUACCUAGGUUUGACAUCCCGCGCUAUCCCAUGAAAGUGGGAGUUCCUUUACGGGACGCGGUGACAGGUGCUGCAUGGCUGUCGUCAGCUCGUGUCGUGAGAUGUUGGGUUAAGUCCCGCAACGAGCGCAACCCUUGCCAUUAGUUGCCAGCAUUAAGUUGGGCACUCUAAUGGGACCGCUUGCCGAUAAGGCAGAGGAAGGUGGGGAUGACGUCAAGUCCGCAUGGCCCUUAAGCCUAGGGCCACACACGUACUACAAUGGCCGGUACAGAUCGUUGCAAGCCAGUGAUGGC
rnacentral:rRNA from 1 species